rnacentral:rRNA from 1 species
CCUACAGGGGGGCAGCAGUGGGGAAUAUUGGACAAUGGGGGCAACCCUGAUCCAGCCAUGCCGCGUGUGUGAAGAAGGCCCUCGGGUUGUAAAGCACUUUCAGUGAGGAAGAACGCCUGGUGGUUAAUACCCAUCAGGAAAGACAUCACUCACAGAAGAAGCACCGGCUAACUCCGUGCCAGCAGCCGCGGUAAUACGGAGGGUGCGAGCGUUAAUCGGAAUUACUGGGCGUAAAGCGCGCGUAGGUGGCUUGAUAAGCCGGUUGUGAAAGCCCCGGGCUCAACCUGGGAACGGCAUCCGGAACUGUCAAGCUAGAGUGCAGGAGAGGAAGGUAGAAUUCCCGGUGUAGCGGUGAAAUGCGUAGAGAUCGGGAGGAAUACCAGUGGCGAAGGCGGCCUUCUGGACUGACACUGACACUGAGGUGCGAAAGCGUGGGUAGCAAACAGGAUUAGAUACCCCAGUAGUC